GGGGAUUAUUAGUGAUUCAGUACUAUGGUUUCUUGAUUCUUUAGGAAGAAACUGCAAACAAAAACCAUGAUCUUUGCUGAUGCUCUGUAAAUUAUCAUUUCGACACACACAACUCCAUUAACUGGCUGUCACCGCAAAAGCCACAGUACAUCACAUUUAUGCACACCCGCACACACACACACCCACACACCUGCGCACAUGUAAUGCACAUGAUUCAGCAGACAAUGUCAACAAAUUGGAGUAGAAGCCAAGAUCUUUCUACCUCUUUUCAUAACAGAAAAAGAGUAGAUGUGGACAUGUUGCCUACUUAAGACGCUACAGCUGUUCCAAAUGCUUUGGGUGGAGCCUGUGUUAAAGUGGCACUUGUUGACUUGAGUACAGUGUCACCCAAACAACAUCCAAGGAAGAUCUGUUAACUCACAAAGUUAUAAACUUACCAUACUGCGUGUGAAUUUCUCAAAAGAUGUUCGGCGAUCCAAUGUGUUUCCAAACUUAAAGUGAAAGAAAAAAAAUAAAAAAGGGAAAGGAAACCAAACCAAAGAAAAAAGAAAAAAAAAGGCCAAAAAGAACAGAGCAGGAAAAGAAAAGCAACAAUGAAGCAAUGGACUGACAAAACACAAAGCUCAUGUAUAAGUCACAAAGUAAAAGCAAGCGGAGGGACAAUGAAUGUCAAUGGGAUGACAGAAAAUUUGCAGAAAGAACUCUGUCCAUGAAUUUUAAGCUUCAGUCUUGACAUGAACAUUUCUUUCGAGGCUCAGUUAAGAAGGCUGGCUGUGGCUUAUUCUGUCUCCACCCAAUAAUUCUGAGAUCCACACCUCUGAGUCCAGCCUCAAUGUUAUUCAAUGAGCAGUAAUGGAUAUUUAUAAGAGGGCCUCCAAUUUCCCUUGGUUGGGCAAGAUGAUUGAGAGGGCGGUGGCUAAUCAACUCAAUCAUAAGACUUAUCCUAUCACAUGAUUUCCAAUUGUACUAAGGAGCUGUUCGUGAGAAGCUUUGCCAAACUUUUUGAAAAUCCGAAAAUAUAUACUGGCUGGCAUGAUGUGCAGCCCACCACCUCCAUAGUGGUCCACUCCAGGGUUGCUGUGGACUUCAAAGGCAGCCUGACAUUGUUUUGAAGCAGCAAUUGCAGGAACUGCAUUUCUGCAGGUUUCUCCAUUGUUCCCCUAUUCCACAGGUUUCCCCAUUU